rnacentral:rRNA from 1 species
GACGAACCGUGCGAACGUUAUUCGGAAUCACUGGGCUUAAAGGGUGCAUAGGCUGGUUGCCAAGUCUGUGGUGAAAUCCUCCGGCUUAACCGGAGAACUGCCGUGGAUACUGGCGACCUCGAGUGGGGUAGGGGCUUGCGGAACUGUGCGUGGAGCGGUGAAAUGCGUUGAUAUGCACAGGAACUCCGGUGGCGAAGGCGGCGAGCUGGACCCUAACUGACGCUGAGGCACGAAAGCCAGGGGAGCGAGCGGG